CAUCUGGGGGCUGCAGCGAUGGGGGGCGCAGUGCCCGANGACAGGUGCUGNAUGGCUGUCGUCAGCUCGUGUCGUGAGNUGUUGGGUUAAGUNCCGCAACGAGCGCAACCCUUGUUCCUAGUUGCCAGCGGUUCGGCGGGGACUCUUGGGAGACUGCCGCGCGGAUAAACCGGGAGAGAGAGUGGGAGAGUGCGGCUAGAGGCAUCGACUGGGCCUUAUGGCAUGAGGGCACACACAGGGCGUACAAUGGGCGGUACAAAGAGGCGUGCACGACCCGCGAGGGGGAGCCAAUCCCAGAAAGGCGUUCGUAGUCCGGAUUGGAGUCUGCAACCCGACUCCAUGAAGUCGGAAUCGCUAGUAAUCGCAGAUCAGCAUGGCUGGGGGGGAAUA
rnacentral:rRNA from 1 species